CCACUUCCCGCUCCUCCACCUCCGCCGCCGAGAGUGCCGCCGAGAGCGCCGCCGCCGCCGGCAUUACUGUACUCCAUUCUCCAACCACCACCAAUAUAAAAAAAACUUCAAUCUUUUCAAUCUUUACACAUGCAGAGACAGGAAACUAUAAGGAUAAGAACGAUGGAAGAAGGGAAGUGGGGGGUAGAGGGUUUUUAGAGGGGUUUAAGCUUCUUCAAUGGCGGAUAAA
rnacentral:lncRNA from 1 species